UCGAGUUCCAGUCAAAAGUGUAGGAGGCAGACAUCCUUGCUGAGACUUGGCAUAGGGAUCUACCAAGGCAAAGAGCUCAGGCCCAUGAAAUAACGAUGUCUCACAAUCCAUGGAGUCUUGGAUCUGAUGAAACAUAGUAGUGCUUACCAGGCCCGAGGCAUCCUUCGUUUCAGCCUCACCACAACCGUGGGAGGAUAAGUACUAUUCUUUUCUACACUUUACAGGUAUUUAAUUAGAAUUGUCAUCACCCAUUUUCCAUUUUAAAGAAGAUCUUUAGAAAGAAGGGCUCCCAUGUAAUGGCUACAUGCAAAAGAAUGGAACAGGACCACUGGCUGACAUCGUAUACAAAGGUAAAUUCAAAGUGGAUUGAGGACCUAAAUGUGAGACCUGAAAUCAUAAAAAUCCCAGAAGAGAACACAGGCAAUAAUUUCUCUGACAUUGACAUUGGCCAACUUCUCUCUGGAGGGUUCUCCUGUAGCAAGGGAAACAAAAGCAAAAAUAAACUACUAUAAAAAAAUAUCAAAAUAAGAAGCUUCUGCAC